UCAAGCUACUAAGGGCUUAUGGUGAAUGCCUUGGUGCCAAGAGGCGAUGAAGGACGUAGCAAGUUGCGAUAAGCCACGGGGAGCCGCAAGCAGGCAUUAAUCCGUGGAUUUCCGAAUGGGACAACCCAGCCAGUUUCAUAACUGGUUAUCAUUGGAUGAAUUCAUAGUCCAAUGAAGCGAAACGGGGUGAAGUGAAACAUCUCAGUAACCCCAGGAAAAGAAAACGAAGCGAUUCCGUCAGUAGUGGCGAGCGAAAGCGGAACAGUCUAAACCGGGAGGACUUGUCUUCCCGGGGUUGAGGGACCUUAAUGUGACAGGCCGAGAGUUAGCAGAAUCUUCUGGAAAGUUGAGCCAUAGACCGUGACAGCCGGGUAAGCGAAAACUCAAAGCCGUCUAGAGGUAUCCCAAGUAACACGGUGCACGUGAAACUCUGUGUGAAUCCGUCCGGACCACCGGAUAAGACUAAAUACUCCUUGGCAACCGAUAGUGAACUAGUACCGCGAGGGAAAGGCGAAAAGAACCGCUGUUAGCGGAGUGAAAUAGAACCUGAAACCAUAUGCCUACAAUGUGUAGGAGCCAUGCCGCAAGGUGUGGUGACUGCUUGCCUUUUGCAUAAUGAGUCUGCGAGUUAUUAUCAGUGGCCAGCCUAAAUUGCUUUGCAAUGGAGGCGAAGGGAAACCGAGUGCCAAUAGCGCGAUUAGUCGCUGGUAAUAGACCCGAAGCGGAGGUGAUCUACUCUUGAGCAGGUUGAAGCUGCAGUAACAUGCAGUGAAGGACCGAACUCGUAGAUGUUGAAAAAUCUUGAGAUGACUUGAGAGUAGGAGCGAAAGACUAAUCAAACCCCGUGAUAGCUGGUUCUCUCCGAAAUCGCUUGAGGGCGAGUCUUAUGGAAGUACCCGGCGGAGGUAGAGCACUGAAUGGCUUAGAGUCCCCACCAGGAUAUCAAAACCAAUCAAACUCCGAAUACCGUCGGUCUCAGUAUCAUAGGAAUCAGGCAGUGGGCGAUAAGGNNGAUUAAGUGGAAAGGAUGUGACUUUGCUUAGACAGUGAGGAUGUUGGCUUAGAGGCAGCCAUCAUUUAAACAGUGCGUAAUAGCUGACUCAUCGAGCGAGGUCGCGCCGAAAAUGAUUGGCGAUCAAAUCACAUACCGAAGCUAUGGAUUGAAGAGGUCUUCGGAUCUUUUCAGUGGUAGGAGAGCGUAAUCAGUGCUGCGAAGCCGGACGGAAAUGGACGGUGGAGCGCUGAUUAGUGAGAAUGCAGACACGAGUAGCGAUAAACCAGAUGAGAAUUCUGGUCGCCGUAAACCCAAGGUUUCCUGGGCCAGGUUCGUCCUCCCAGGGUUAGCCGGGAGCUAAGAUGAGGCCAUAAGGCGUAAUCGAUGCACAGCAGGUUAAAUAUUCCUGCGCCCGCCGGGAUUAAGGCUGCGAAUGACGCAUGGGAAGACAUCAACUAGGCAAUCGAAUGCUGAGCUUAGGCUUCGGCCAAAGCGUAUUGGUGGGUUCCUGUGCCUAGAAAAGUUUGCAGUCGUUUCCCCGACGGCCCGUACCGUAAACCGACACAGGUGGGUGAGUGUAAGCGCACUCAGGCGCGCGAGAGAAACCUCUCUAAGGAACUCGGCACAUUAGCCUCGUAACUUCGGGAAAAGAGGUGCNNUAAAUUGCGUUUAGCGACUGUUUAACAAAAACACAGCUCUCUGCAAAGUCGUGAAGACGACGUAUAGGGAGUGACAAGUGACCAAUGCGGAAAGAUUAAGAGAUUUUGUUAGUCCCGCGCAAGCGGGACGAAGCUCGGUCUUUAAGUCCCCGUGAAUGUCGGCCGUAACUAUAACGGUCCUAAGGUAGCGAAAUUCCUUGUCGGGUAAGUUCCGACCUGCACGAAUCUUGUAACGACUGAACGACUGUCUCGGAGAGGAUCUCGGCGAAACUGUAACGGCGGUGAAGAUGCCGCCUGCCCGCAGUAGGACGGAAAGACCCUAUGCACCUUUACUGUAAGCUCGUAUUGUGUUCUGGUUCGUGAUGCGUAGCGUAGGUGGGAGACUUUGAAGCGGGGGCCUCGGUUCCCGUGGAGUCGCAAUGUGAAACACCACUCUUUGCUAAUUAGGAUUCUAACCUCAUGCUGUAAGCCAGCUGGGGGACAGUGCGUGCGGGUCAGUUUGACUGGGGCGGUUUCCUCCCAAAGAGUAACGGAGGAGCGCGAAGCUUGGCUCAGCACGGUUGGCAACCGUGCGUUGAGGGUAUGGCUAGAAGCCAGGUUAACUGUGAGACCUACAAGUCGAGCAGGUACGAAAGUAGGCCCAAAUGAUCCGACGUUUUAAUGUGGAAUUGACGUCGCUCAACGGACAAAAGGUACGCUAGGGAUAACAGGCUGAUCGGGUCCAAGAGUUCACAUCGACGACCCGGUUUGGCACCUCGAUGUCGGCUCAUCGCAUCCUGGGGCUGGAGAAGGUCCCAAGGGUCCGGCUGUUCGCCGGUUAAAGCGGUACGCGAGCUGGGUUCAGAACGUCGUGAGACAGUUCGGUCCUUAUCCACUGUGGGCGCAGNNGCACUUCUGGUGUGGCAAUUGUCGCGUCAGCGGCAUCGUUGCGUAGCCAUGUGCGGAAGAGAUAAGCGCUGAAAGCAUCUAAGUGCCAAGCUCAUCCCAAGAUAAUGUCUCCCGGGGCGCAAGCUCCCUAAAGACCACGGGCAGACCACCCGUUUGAUAGGCCAGAGGUGUAAGCGUCGUAAGGCGUUUAGCCGACUGGUACUAAUCGGUCGUGCGGCUUGNNNNN
rnacentral:rRNA from 1 species